rnacentral:rRNA from 1 species
CGGGUGAGUAAUGCUUGGGAAUAUGCCUUGAGGUGGGGGACAACAGUUGGAAACGACUGCUAAUACCGCAUAAUGUCUACGGACCAAAGGAGGGGAUCUUCGGACCUUUCGCCUUUAGACUAGCCCAAGUGAGAUUAGCUAGAUGGUGGGGUAAUGGCCUACCAUGGCGACGAUCUCUAGCUGGUUUGAGAGGAUGAUCAGCCACACUGGGACUGAGACACGGCCCAG